GCUUAACCGAAGAAGUGCAUCGGAAACUGGGUGACUUGAGUGCAGAAGAGGACAGUGGAACUCCAUGUGUAGCGGUGGAAUGCGUAGAUAUAUGGAAGAACACCAGUGGCGAAGGCGGCUGUCUGGUCUGCAACUGACGCUGAGGCUCGAAAGCAUGGGUAGCGAACAGGAUUAGAUACCCUGGUAGUCCAUGCCGUAAACGAUGAGUGCUAGGUGUUGGAGGGUUUCCGCCCUUCAGUGCCGGAGCUAACGCAUUAAGCACUCCGCCUGGGGAGUACGACCGCAAGGUUGAAACUCAAAGGAAUUGACGGGGGCCCGCACAAGCGGUGGAGCAUGUGGUUUAAUUCGAAGCUACGCGAAGAACCUUACCAGGUCUUGACAUCUUGCGCUAACCUAAGAGAUUAGGCGUUCCCUUCGGGGACGCAAUGACAGGUGGUGCAUGGUCGUCGUCAGCUCGUGUCGUGAGAUGUUGGGUUAAGUCCCGCAACGAGCGCAACCCUUGUUACUAGUUGCCAGCAUUCAGUUGGGCACUCUAGUGAGACUGCCGGUGACAAACCGGAGGAAGGUGGGGACGACGUCAGAUCAUCAUGCCCCUUAUGACCUGGGCUACACACGUGCUACAAUGGUCGGUACAACG
rnacentral:rRNA from 1 species